UGUUAUUUCGACCACUCUAUGUUUGUCCGCCACCAAGAUGGUAAGGUAGUUGUCUUGAUCGUCUAUGUAGACGAUAUUAUUAUUUCUGGUGAUGAUGUGGCUAGUAUUGCAGAGGUGAAAACAUAUUUACAGCAGCAUUUUCAAACCAAGGAUCUAGGUGAUCUUAACUAUUUUCUUGGUAUUGAAGUUAUGUUAAGCAAGAUGGGAUCA